UACGAAGGGGGCUAGCGUUGCUCGGAAUCACUGGGCGUAAAGGGUGCGUAGGCGGGUCUUUAAGUCAGGGGUGAAAUCCUGGAGCUCAACUCCAGAACUGCCUUUGAUACUGGUAGCUCGAGUCCGGGAGAGGUGAGUGGAACUGCGAGUGUAGAGGUGAAAUUCGUAGAUAUUCGCAAGAACACCAGUGGCGAAGGCGGCUCACUGGCCCGGUACUGACGCUGAGGUGCGAAAGCGUGGGGAGCAAACAGG
rnacentral:rRNA from 1 species